AGAAUUGACACCAUGAAGUAAUUUCUACUAAGACCAUCUCCAUUUACAGAUGAUUUUAAAAUGAGGCACACAGAGGCUUAGUAAGUUGUCUGAGGUCACAUAUAGCAAGAUAGAGGCGGAGUUGCAAUCCAGCUGAGCUCCGUGUGAUGCACAGCCUCUGCACGCGCCUCCACGUUGUGCUCCUCACUUGAGCAGCCCAAGUUCUCCAUGACACUCCAGGUCCAACUGGCCACAGAAGCACUCAGUUCUGCACCCCAGGACUGGGUUGGAUCUUCUCACUCUGAGCCAGGGGAACUUCCGACCUUCCCUCAGAUGCCACUGACUCACCCCCGGCUUCUAAGUGGUGGUGACUCACUCUCCACAGGGUCACCUUAACCUUUGGUGACAAUUUAGACUGCCAGGCAGUGGGGAAAGGCACCUAAGACCAGAAAAGUCUCCCUUCCUUAAAUAGAAGAACAUAUUUUCAAAAUUUAAAAAAAGCAAACAAAAACCAACCACCGUCAUACUGAUGACCGCUAGCGUGUAUUAAGCACUUACAGGUAGAUUAGAAAAAUCUCCAUUAGGUAACAACUAGUACUGCUUCCACUUGUGAGGUGAAGAGGCUGAGUCAUGGUUGAGUAACUUGGCAAGGUCACGUGGCCAGGAAAUGGUGACUGAGAUAUGACCCAGGCAAAGGACCUUUCUGGAGGUAGAGGAUCCACAGUCUGCUGUCCUGCUAAGAGGGCAAAAGAGUGGCUCUAGUUAUUAUUAAAUGCAAUUAAUAUUAAUAAUAAGUAAUUAUUUGUCUUAUUAUUACUAAAUGCUCAAUGAGAGCAUGAAGAGGGAAGUGACCCUAACCUAGUGUUUUUGCAGGUACUUCUAAACCUCAUGGUCUCUCCCGUGGAUAACUAGUGUCUCCUACCUGGCAGAGGGCCGAGCAGGCGAAGCCUCGGGGUCGGAAGACACAGGUAGGAACACCAGGUCAGACCGUCAACGUCUUUAGCACCGGUGACUUCCACCUGCCGAUCUAAGGAGAGAAAAGAAAGCCCAGUGGGCUUGGGGUGGCUUCCCGCGGCUUCAUCCUGGGACUCAAGUUCCCUUCAAAAUGCAGGAGAAUGCUCACAUCUCUAGACGUCCAACUUACAAUCACCCUUAAAAAGACAGCCCCUUCUCCCUACCCUGGGAUUGAACAGCGGGAAGAAGGUGGGUGUCCGACAGCUGGGGCUUCUCUCUCCUCCACGUUCCGGAAGGAGAACUGUCUGGGAGAAAGGAGAGAAUCAGCAGAAAAUGAAGAAACGAAAUUUCGAGAUUCAUCAAGUUAGAGCCACAAUUUUGAGGCAGGUGGAAGUUGUCACCCGUCCUUUGAAAGACGUUCCUCGAGAGGCUACUGAUCAGAGCCAGGCCCUCUUCAGAGCUUGGGGGCCGCCCCUGCCCCCCGACAGUGUGUGCCAGGACCACUCAGCACGGAGCCGAGGGUGGCUUUCUCCUGUCCCUCAGCAGUGAGGUCACAGGGACCCGUGGAAGGCCCCACGUGGCACGGUGGGCAGCUCUCGGCGGGAAGUCCCUUCUGAAGCCCAGAGGAUUCCUUCCAGGCUGCGCGCGCAGCCCUGUUUCCCGUGGGACCUUCUCUGAAGACAGAGCCUUCGCAGGCCCCCGAGGCUCCCCGAGAGGCACCAGGUCCUGUGGGUGACUUGGUCUGACUUCCUGACUUCCCUUGGUGGUCUGAUCUGUAAAACGGGCAGGACAGCCAACGCGGUCACCGUGAGCAGGAAAGGGGAGGACCGCAGCCUGCCGUCCUUCCACAGGCUCCGAACSGCUUUCCUGCUCCUCUGUCCCCUUCUCGCCUCGGCAGAACGGGGCUGUGCACUGGUUUCCCUGGAAAAUCCUUCUUAUUAAAUGGCAGGCCAGGGAAGACCUGUGACGUUCACCAGUGGCCCUCAGCGGCCCUUGUGGAGGAAGGUGUCCGGGCCUUGGCGGGAGGAGGACGAAGGCCAGGCCAGCCCCUCUCUGGGUGCUUGCUGAACCUACAGAUCUUGUUCCCUUUGAGCCUGGGGGCGCAGGCCSAUCUUUUGAGAGAGGCCACCGAGUACAGGAGUUUMAAGUUUGUCCCUGAAGGCAGAAGAUCUUUCUGAACCUGGCCAUCUUGUUGACCUUGGGAAAGUUCAUGCAUCUCUCUGGAGAUGGUGAAUGUGACUGCGAAGUUAGAUGUUUAUAGAUCACAGGUGGCCCUGGAUACACCCUGUGUGGCUUAAUGACGGGGUGUGUUCCAAGAACCGKGUCACCAGGGACUCACCAUCCUAUUUAGGAUCUGUCAUUUACCAACACUUUGUUAUAUGAAGUGUGGUCGCAGCAUACAUAAAGUCAUGGCUAUUUUUAUCUUUCCAAGAUGCAAAUACGAUAGGUCAUGUCCCCUGCCGUCUUCACGGAUCGCCCAGUCCUCCGAAUAAAGCAAAUCCCACGCAUGUCCUCAUAGCCCGCAGGAUCUGAUCUCUACCUCAUGUCCCAUUUCCUGUCUCCCUCUGUCCCCUGCGCUGUCCUGCAGUGGGCUUCCACAGGACACUCUGCGCAUGCUGUUCUUGCGUCUACUGUGGCCUUGGUCCCAUUGACACCCAUCGGGCCCCCCAGCCAUGCCCGGGGAAGAUGGUGCCCUUCUGCCUCCUGCAUUAUCCACACUUGGCUGUCACUGUCAGUCCAGGGCAAGACACUUCUCUUUACGUGUCUGCCUCUCCUAUUAGACUAUGAACCGCGUGAGGGAAGGAACGAUGUCUUAGUCAUCUUUCAAAUGCAUAAUGGACAUUACCAAAAAAGUCUGUUCAAUGCAUUGAUGAAUCAAUAUAAUCUACUGGAAAAUCAAUAAA